UUGGAGGGCAAGUCUGGUGCCAGCAGCCGCGGUAAUUCCAGCUCCAAUAGCGUAUAUUAAAGUUGUUGCAGUUAAAAAGCUCGUAGUUGAAUUUCGGGAUUGACGUGAUGGUCAUGCCUUAAGGGGUAUGAACUGUCACAGUUGAUUUCUCACCUUCUGGAGAAACUUGAUGUCCUUUAUUGGGUGUCUUGCGGAUCCAGGACCUUUACCUUGAAAAAAUUAGAGUGUUUAAAGCAGGCAUUUUUUGCUCGAAUACAUUAGCAUGGAAUAAUAGAAUAGGACGGCAUGGUUCUAUUUUGUUGGUUUCUAGGAUCACCGUAAUGAUUAAUAGGGAUAGUUGGGGGCAUUAGUAUUCAAUUGUCAGAGGUGAAAUUCUUGGAUUUAUUGAAGACUAACUACUGCGAAAGCAUUUGCCAAGGAUGUUUUCAUUAAUCAAGAACGAAAGUUAGGGGAUCGAAGACGAUCAAAUACCGUCGUAGUCUUAACCAUAAACUAUGCCGACUAGGAAUCAGACGAUGUUAAUUUUUUAAUGACUCGUUUGGCACCUUACGGGAAAC
rnacentral:rRNA from 1 species